UGAGGAAAGUCCGAACUCCACAGAGCAAGGUACUGGAUAACAUCCAGCGGGGGUAACCCCGGGAAAGUGCCACAGAAAAGCAAACCACCUUGGUUUUUACCAAGGCAAGGGUGAAAAGGCGAGGUAAGAGCUCACCGAUCACCGGGUGACCGGUGUAUCUGGAAAACCCUACCUGGAGCAAGGCCAAAUAGGAAGGAAUGAGGCUGCUCGCUGACCUUCGGGUUGGCCGCUUGAGGAACCGGGAAACCGGUUUCCCAGAUAGAUGGUUGCCGUUCUCUUUUGAGAAUACAAAAUUCGGCUUAUCGAUCUUCCCAAAAA
rnacentral:RNase_P_RNA from 1 species